AUUGCAACAUACAGCAGAGACUGUGCUCUGCAUGCUGUUUACCAGGACGGUGGAUCAGAGAAGGCAGAGCAUCCCCUGUGACCUGGAGUUCUGUGCACAACAGGGAAAAUCUGGGGGAACAGUGUGCUGUGAAACCAGUGCCCUUGUCAUGCUGGACCUUCCUGCAUUCCUUCAUGCUGUGCUGCCCCACACCAGCCCAGCAGAGCUUGCCAAAACAAAGGCUGAAGUUCGAGCAGAAGAUUCAAGACAGAAGUGAACCCAAGAGCUUGUGCAUUCAAAGGCAGUUCAGUCUUGAUUUGGAGCCCUCAAAACAUGGAAAGCCCAUCACAUCAACUGAUCUGCCUUUCAUGAACCCGUGCUGGCUGGGCCUGAUCCCCUGGACACCACGCAUGUGCUGUGCGAUCUCACCCAAGAUUAUUUGCUCCAUAACUUUCCCUGGUGCUGAGGUCAGGCUGACAGGCCUUCAGUUCCCCGGAUCCCCCUUACAGCCCUUCUUGUAGAUGGGAGUCACAUCGGCAAGCCUCCAAUCCUCCGGGACCUCUCCAGAUAACCAGGAGCGCUGGUAGAUGGCGGAGAGCAGCUCAGCAAUCACCCCUGCCAGCUCCCUCAGGAUGGAGGGAUCCGGUGACCCUAGGAUGGAGCCCAUCUGGUCCCAUGGACUUGUGACAGUCCAGAUGGAGGAGGAGCUCUCUAACUGUCUCCACCUGAAUCACCAGGGGUGUAUUCUGCAUAGCAUCCCAGACUUCCAGAUCAGGGUGUAAAGUGCCCUGAGGAUAACUGAUCUGACUAUUAAAGGCAGAUGUAAAGAAAGUGUGGAGGACUUCAGCCUUCUCCUUAUCCUCAGUGGUCACAUUCCCCACCGUAUCAAGUAAACGAUGGAAAUUCUCCUUGGUUCUUCUCUUACCGUUGAUAUAUUUGUAAAAGGAUUUCUUAUUCUCUUUUACUGCAGUGGCCAAUCUGAGUUCAAGUUGGGCUUCCUAACUUACACCCUGCAUACCUUAGCAACUUCCUUGUAAUCUCCCCAAGUAGUUUGUCCCUAUUUUUGGACUGCUUUCUGCAUGCUCCUAUUUUCCUACGUGAAUUUUAAAGCAUGGACAAUGGAAUGAUAUGCUUUUCCAGUCUAGGUUUCUCAUAUUUUGAAUGGUGUGAAUUACGCUCCCAUCCUUCCUCUGUUCCCAUCAACUGAAUCACGUGGCAGAUUUUCCAGUAUUUCGCUCAAGACUGAUGUCAGGCUAGCUGACAAAGAGGAACCCAAGUCAUCUGCUUUCCUGUUUGGAAUACUGGCAGAAAAUCCUCCUGGAGGACUCCCAGUGGCUGAGAACCACUCUGUUCUCUUAUAGAUGAGCUAAUGGUCCCUGCAGCCAGGUCUUGCGGAGCCCUGGCCCCUCCAAUCUCUGGGCACGUGGUUAUAAAUAUUUUUCUGUCUCUCAAAAGUUAUUCAACAGUCACUCUUCUUACUAAUGGAAAAUAUGCACCGUCCUCAUUGAAAAUAAGGAUGUGAGUUAUUUGUUUCAAGUUGCGAAACACAAAUAUUUACCCAAUACAUCCACCUUUCUCCAUCACUGACAAUUUCAUCACCACCCUGUAAUCACACUUCACAUCACCAGAAGCUCUUUUCUUUCUUUAAAAGCAAACAUUUUUGCUCUGAAUUUGCAGUUUUCCUGAUAUCUUUAGCUUUCCUUGGCUUUUGCCUAAAUUUCAGGCCUCUUGGUUACUGUUUCUUGCAGUCUUUCUCCCUUUUUUUCCAUUUGUUCCACACAAGAAAGAAGAGAAUAAUUUUCCAUAGUGCUUUCAUCAUGCCUCUGAUCCAGCAUUUGAGGUCAUUAGCAUUUUCUGAAUUUCAAAAUGUGAAUGUAAUCAGAUCCAGGAGGUCUAGACUGAAAACCAUACCUAUUCUGCUUAGAGAAAUGUAAAUCACUCCAUUGACCAACUACUAAUAUUCAAUUACGUUUGCUAUUUAGUUACAAUAUUGUUAACUAUUUUGUAAUAUAUAACUCUGAAAAAUUUUACACUGCAACUCUGCAUUUUCAUUUUUUUUUCUCAGCUGAACCACAGCUUUUCAAAAAAGCUAAGCCUGGCUCAAAGGGCAGAACCCAAAGUUUUGGUCACACUCCCAGCUAAUUCUCCAUUACCCAAGGGCAUGAACAAACCUUCCAUCCCUGACAAAGGGAAGAAAACCUGCUUGCUUACCAAAAUAAGCCAGUUAAUGGCACACCUGUGUGACAUGGGAUAUUUUCCCUAUUUUCCCUCUCACAUUGGCUGGGUCCCUCAGGGAGUCUUUCUGAAGCUCUCCAAGGUGGCCAUCAUCAGCACCAGGCCUGAGUGCAGCAUUCCAUACAAACACGAUGAAGGACUUCUUUACUGUGAGGAUGACAGAGAACUGGAACAGGUUGUCCAGAGAGUAUUCUGCUUCUCUGGAGAUACUCAAGACCUGUCUGGAUGCCUACCUGUGCAACCUAUUGUAGGGUAUCUGCUUUAGCAGGGAGUUGGACUUGAUGAUCCCUAGAGGUCCCUUCCAACCCAUAUGACUCUGCGAUGCUGUGAUCCCUGGUGCUUCACUCCUCCACUGUUGAAAGCAGACCCAGCCAAGGGUGGUGCUGAUUGCCUGAUGGCAAGCAACUUAAAACUUUUAGAAGAAGCUAUAUAAAGCCGGGCAUGGAGUGUCCCAUACAUGCCUCCGCAAAAUAAACAAACAAACAAAUAAAUAAAUAAAUUCCCAUUUCCAUUUCAGCUAGAUAAAAUGAUUUCAUAAGUCUCCCGUAGAUGAGUGUACUUAUUUAUCAAGAUUCCUUAACAAAGCUUUCAAAAAGCUCAGGGAAUUGCAGGCCUGAGGAUUUUGUUCAGAAUCAUUUCUGAUGUUUGUAGUUUUUAAAGACUUCUGUCUAUUCUGUGUUAUUUCAGUAAUAAGCAAAUUAUCAUAACAUGCAAUGAGCAAACCCUGAGCCAGGGGCAUUGUUAGAAAAUCAGAACUGAAUUAGUCAAACCUUAGAUUAAAUAAAAAUAAUAAUAUACAACAUAUAUAAAACCCAAAUUUCCAAGGCAGUAAAAGCUUAAUUCAUUAUUUAUAAAAGCAGCAUUUCUGAAGACUCACAGGGAUGAUUCUGCUGCAGCUUAGUUUUGUUUAAUCAGGCUUUGAAUUAAUUAACAUAAUUAGUCACUAUGGGGGGGGGAGGAUAACUUGGACUGAUUUUAUGGCGUCUUUUGUUCUGCUGGUUCAGGUCUUACAGCUUGAUUUAUAUGUGGCUGGAGGGGUUUAUUUACAAGAGUAAUUAAUGCUGCAUAAAAUUGAUUACAACCUAAUUUUAGCUGCAAAACCAUGUUGCUGUUUGCUUUUGCCAUGAGGAACUGCAGCAAAUUCAUUCGAAAAUCAGGCGAGCGUAAUCCUGCAGAUGAGCAGCAGUGACUGGUAGACUGAUGGCCAGGAGCACCCUGAUCAUAGUGAUGGGCUGGAAUUCCAGGAUGUAAGUAAGGACAAGAGUUGUGUUAGUAGGACUAGAUUCAAAGGUGAGACUAAAGGAACAAUCACAGCGGGGUCAUUUCCACUUCUGCUGCUGCAGUGGAACAGCUCCAUGCCUGCAGGUGGAAAUAGAAAAGCCCUGUAAAUCGUAGGAUCAUACACUGGUUUGAGUUGGAAGGGACCCUAAAAGGUCAUCUAGUCCAACUACCCUGAAAUGAACAUGGACACCUACAGCUUGAUCAGGUUGCUGAGAGCCUUGUCCAGCCUGACCUUGAAGGUGUCCAAGGAUGGGGCAUCCACCACCUCUCUGGGCAACCUGUUCCAGUGCUUUAUUGUAAGAUAAACUUUUUUCUUCUCUCCAAAUUAUCUCCUCUGAUUGAGUGUAGUAUUUAUUUGGCCAAUUUUUGGCCUAAGCGAUUGGCCACUGCUUGUGUUCCUUUUUCCAGAAAAAAAAAAAAAAAAAGGAGUCAUGAAGGGCCUUGCUGUGGAAAUUCCUACUCUUGGCUUUCCUUAUAAAUAUUAGUGAAGCCAAAAGGAUUCUAGACAUCAGUGGACUGCUGAGUUGCCACCUAUAUAGAUAGCGUAUACAAAGUGUAUGUAGACAGAUGAGGAAUGGUUAGAAAGAAUGGGAUGGAUCUUGGAAUUUGAUGUGGACUACUUAUGCCUACAGAGGUUCCCAGCCUAUUGACCUAUUUCCAAAAUAAGCUACUAUGCAAAGUGUCUGACACUCAGUGUUGUUCCUUCAGGUGACAUUUUUAAUAACCGUGCCAUCAAAAUACAAUAAGAAUCUAAUUUGAAUUACAUGGCCCCGGAUAUUUUUAAGUAGAGCAGAUGUGAAGUUUCUAAACAAGAUAUCCUUGAGCUUUGGCUUUGAAAAAGAAAGAAGGCAUUUCACACAGCUAAUGACAUCUCGUUUGUUCAAAGGCUUAGCUCCACGUUUCCAAGAACAGUUCUUUUUUGAUGAAAGACUACCUGGAAAGAAAUGUCAUGAGGAAAGGAGGAGCUUGGGUUUGUUAGGUUGUUAGGUUUUGUUUCUUUUUCAGGAAAAGGAAGAAAUGAAGAUGGUGAAAGAAAAAAAAAAAAACGCAACUAAACAACUUAAAAUUUAACAAAGAUGUAGCAUGUCUCCAUAAUGUCUACGGUAAAAUUACCAUAAAAAACGUAUUAAUUCAUGACCUUUAAAUCAGCUCCUUCAGCAAAUAAGAUUAUCUUCAUUUUCCAAUAAAAUAUUUAAUUCUUUUAUGCCUGCAUAAUUUUCCAGUCUAACAGUAUCGGGUUGUUUUCUCCUUUUCCUUCUUUUUGUGCUAUUUCCAGACGAGGGCCCAAUUACCCCACACAGUGUGAGGAUGAAGCAGGACAGGUGCUACCUGCCUGCAUCCCACCCCACCGCACGAGGUCUGGUCAUCCACAGACCCUCAGCAGGGAGCUGUAUGUGUAUUUGCACUGGGGAAGGAUUGGCUCCCUCUGUGUGCACCAAGCUGUCCACAAGUGCCAUGUGCUGUCUGCAAUUUCUCCUUGGACCACUUAGAGCUAGGGCUGGGCAAAUAUUAUUUGCAAAUACAUUAUUUAGCAUAUGUUGAUCCUCUUUACAGAACAUGCUCUCUGACUAAUUGUCUCUGCAGUAGCCUACCAGCCCUAGCACCAUUCAUGUAUUAUUAGUUGAAUAAUUUAUGAGAUCAGCAAAGACAGAAUGCAUUGAAUAAUUUAUUCAAAGAAAAAAUUGCUCCCAGUAUUUGGUUAUCUCUAAUUAGAACCUCUUUUCAGCUAGAUUACACACAUACAUGCGUGUUCUUAGGCAUUCAUACAUGUGGCCACAUGCUGCACCACUAUCCCUUGCUGUCAGAGGAUCAGGACACGUCUGCAUGCUGCAGAAUGGCUUUUCCCCAGCCUUCCUGGCACGUUUCCAGCCAUCCCAUUUCAGCUGCAAAUCCUCUCAUCUUUGGGACAAGCUACACAUGAGCUCCUUGGGCAAGAGGAAGCUUCACUGACCGCAGUGAGCUGCCAGACAAUGACAUACCGGCAUCUUCCGUCGGUUACCUGAUUUUUCACAGCUAAUUUAGGGGCAGGUAUUUCAGGUGAAGUGUCAGCUUUAAUUCACAGCCCCUUCAAAGCUGCCCUCAUAUGGAGCCACGUAACCUCGCAGCGUCUGGUAGCUCCAGGUCAGGGCUGAGGGCAGCAGAAAGAUUUUCCGGACAGUGCAGCUGUUUGCACCGUA